rnacentral:rRNA from 1 species
GGGGACAACCAGCCGAAAGGUUGGCUAAUACCGCAUGAGUUCUACGGAAGAAAGAGGGGGACCCGCAAGGGCCUCUCGCGAGCGGAGCGGCCGAUGACUGAUUAGCCGGUUGGUGAGGUAACGGCUCACCAAAGCAACGAUCAGUAGCUGGUCUGAGAGGACGACCAGCCACACUGGGACUGAGACACGGCCCAGACUCCUACGGGAGGCAGCAGUGGGGAAUUUUGGACAAUGGGCGCAAGCCUGAUCCAGCUAUUCCGCGUGUGGGAUGAAGGCCCUCGGGUUGUAAACCACUUUUGUAGAGAACGAAAAGACACCUUCGAAUAAAGGGUGUUGCUGACGGUACUCUAAGAAUAAGCACCGGCUAACUACGUGCCAGCAGCCGCGGUAAUACGUAGGGUGCGAGCGUUAAUCGGAAUUACUGGGCGUAAAGGGUGCGCAGGCGGUUGAGUAAGACAGAUGUGAAAUCCCCGAGCUUAACUCGGGAAUGGCAUAUGUGACUGCUCGACUAGAGUGUGUCAGAGGGAGGUGGAAUUCCACGUGUAGCAGUGAAAUGCGUAGAUAUGUGGAAGAACACCGAUGGCGAAGGCAGCCUCCUGGGACAUAACUGACGCUCAGGCACGAAAGCGUGGGGAGCAAACAGGAUUAGAUACCCU